GCACUGCUGAGGAGUCCCACGAUAGGACGAAACGGACUUUGUCCAGUGC
rfam:Schistosoma rodhaini strain Burundi genome assembly, scaffold: SROB_scaffold0006244